rnacentral:misc_RNA from 1 species
UUAAGUUCAGCGGGUAUCCCUACCUGAUCCGAGGUCAACAUUUGGAGAAAUUAAUCGCGAGACUGGUGCCAUCGCCCCAACGUGACGACAUGUAUGCGCCCGUGGUUUGACGUACCAUCACUGAUUUUUAGGCAUGCCCCAAGGCAAGGCCCAACGUCAAGUUAACCAGAAGUUUGAACUUGAGGGGUGUAAUGACGCUC